CGAUACGGGACUCAUCCGAGGCCCCGUAAUCGGAAUGAGUACACUCUAAACCCUUUAACGAGGAUCAAUUGGAGGGCAAGUCUGGUGCCAGCAGCCGCGGUAACACCAGCUCCAAUAGCGUAUAUUAAAGUUGUUGCGGUUAAAAAGCUCGUAGUCGAAUUUGUGUCCCGCGCCGCCGGUUCAUCGCUCGCGGUGUUAACUGGCGUGUCCGCGGGACGUCCUGCCGGUGGGCUUAGCUCUCGGGCGGCCCAAUCUCAAUCCCACCGCGGUGCUCUUUACUGAGUGUCGAGGUGGGCCGGCACGUUUACUUUGAACAAAUUAGAGUGCUUAAAGCAGGCUUAAAUAUCGCCUGAAUACUGUGUGCAUGGAAUAAUGGAAUAGGACCUCGGUUCUAUUUUGUUGGUUUUCGGAACCCCGAGGUAAUGAUUAAUAGGAACGGAUGGGGGCAUUCGUAUUGCGACGUUAGAGGUGAAAUUCUUGGAUCGUCGCAAGACGGACAGAAGCGAAAGCAUUUGCCAAAAACGUUUUCAUUGAUCAAGAACGAAAGUUAGAGGUUCGAAGGCGAUCAGAUACCGCCCUAGUUCUAACCAUAAACGAUGCCAGCUAGCGAUCCGCCGACGUUCCUCCGAUGACUCGGCGGGCAGCUUCCGGGAAACCAAAGCUUUUGGGAUCCGGGGGAAGUAUGGUUGCAAAGCUGAAACUUAAAGGAAUUGACGGAAGGGCACCACCAGGAGUGGAGCCUGCGGCUUAAUUUGACUCAACACGGGAAACCUCACCAGGCCCGGACACCGGAAGGAUUGACAGAUUGAGAG
rnacentral:rRNA from 1 species